rnacentral:rRNA from 1 species
AUUGAACGCUGGCGGCAGGCCUAACACAUGCAAGUCGAGCGAGCGGCGGACGGGUGAGUAAUGUAUGUGGACUGCCCGAGAGAGGGGGAUAACUACUGUAAACGGUGGCUAAUACCGCAAACUGUCGUAUAACCCAUAUGGGAGUAGCUAGUAGGUGAGGUAAUGGCUUACCUAGGCGACGAUCCCUAGCUGGUCUGAGAGGAUGAUCAGCCACCCUGGGACUGAUACACGGCCCAGACUCCUACGGAGGCAGCAGUGGGUAAUAUUGCACAAUGAGCGCAAGCCUGAUGCAGCCAUGCCGCGUGUAUGAAGAAGGCCCUAGGGUUGUAGAGUACUUUCAGUCGGGAGGCGUUACCGACAGAAGAAGCACCGGCUAACUCCGUGCCAGCAGCCGCGGUAAUUC